UACGUAGGGAGCAAGCGUUGUUCGGAUUUACUGGGCGUAAAGGGCGCGUAGGCGGCGCGGUAAGUCACUUGUGAAAUCUCUGAGCUUAACUCAGAACGGCCAAGUGAUACUGCAGCGCUAGGGUGCAGAAGGGGCAAUCGGAAUUCUUGGUGUAGCGGUGAAAUGCGUAGAUAUCAAGAGGAACACCUGAGGUGAAGACGGGUUGCUGGGCUGACACUGACGCUGAGUGCGCGAAAGCCAGGGGAGCAAACGGG
rnacentral:rRNA from 1 species